GAUGAACGCUGGCGGCGUGCCUAAUACAUGCAAGUCGAGCGAACAGAUGAGGAGCUUGCUCCUCUGACGUUAGCGGCGGACGGGUGAGUAACACGUGGAUAACCUACCUAUAAGACUGGGAUAACUUCGGGAAACCGGAGCUAAUACCGGAUAAUAUAUUGAACCGCAUGGUUCAAUAGUGAAAGACGGUUUUGCUGUCACUUAUAGAUGGAUCCGCGCCGCAUUAGCUAGUUGGUAAGGUAACGGCUUACCAAGGCAACGAUGCGUAGCCGACCUGAGAGGGUGAUCGGCCACACUGGAACUGGAACACGGUCCAGACUCCUACGGGAGGCAGCAGUAGGGAAUCUUCCGCAAUGGGCGAAAGCCUGACGGAGCAACGCCGCGUGAGUGAUGAAGGUCUUCGGAUCGUAAAACUCUGUUAUUAGGGAAGAACAAAUGUGUAAGUAACUAUGCACGUCUUGACGGUACCUAAUCAGAAAGCCACGGCUAACUACGUG
rnacentral:rRNA from 1 species